rnacentral:rRNA from 1 species
UACGUAGGGUGCGAGCGUUAAUCGGAAUUACUGGGCGUAAAGUGUGCGCAGGCGGCAGAGCAAGUCGAGUGUGAAAGCCCCGGGCUUAACUUGGGAAUUGCGAUGGAGACUGCAAGGCUUGAAUCUGGCAGAGGGGGGUAGAAUUCCACGUGUAGCAGUGAAAUGCGUAGAGAUGUGGAGGAACACCGAUGGCGAAGGCAGCCCCCUGGGUCAAGAUUGACGCUCAUGCACGAAAGCGUGGGGAGCAAACAGG